AGUGAACGCUGGCGGUAGGCCUAACACAUGCAAGUCGAACAGCAGCACAGUAAGAGCUUGCUCUUACGGGUGGCGAGUGGCGGACGGGUGAGGAAUACAUCGGAAUCUACUUUUUCGUGGGGGAUAACGUAGGGAAACUUACGCUAAUACCGCAUACGACCUACGGGUGAAAGCAGGGGAUCUUCGGACCUUGCGCGAUUGAAUGAGCCGAUGUCGGAUUAGCUAGUUGGCGGGGUAAAGGCCCACCAAGGCGACGAUCCGUAGCUGGUCUGAGAGGAUGAUCAGCCACACUGGAACGGAGACACGGUCCAGACUCCUACGGGAGGCAGCAGUGGGGAAUAUUGGACAAUGGGCGCAAGCCUGAUCCAGCCAUACCGCGUGGGUGAAGAAGGCCUUCGGGUUGUAAAGCCCUUUUGUUGGGAAAGAAAAGCAGCAGGUUAAGACCCCGCUGUUCUGACGGUACCCAAAGAAUAAGCACCGGCUAACUUCGU
rnacentral:rRNA from 1 species